rnacentral:tRNA from 1 species
GGUCAAGUAGUUUAGAGAACGUUUGCUUUGCAGGUAAAAAGUGGGUGAUUGCCCUUUGACCA